UGGGGAAUACAAAAAUGGCAUUUUCCUCGCCCCAAAGGGAAUUAUUAACAUUUUCUUGAAAUAUUAUCUUCGGGGCGAGGAGAAUGCCAUCAAGUUCUGAAGAAUCACAUUAUAUUCAGGAAAAUGACAUUGUCCUUAAAAAAUGCCUCUGGUCCGAGGAAAUUGACAUUUUUGUCUGAGGAAAUUGCCAUUUUCCCGUCACGCCUGAGUGCUGCCAGGGUUUACCUGUGCAGCGGCGAGACGGCUAGCUAGCAGCACACGGCCGACCAGCUCGUUAUCGACACACGUGUACGAUUGACAACGCGGCCGACCACUACUGCAUGUCGCGUAAUCGGGCUUUACAUGGAAUGAAAUCCUAAAAUAAAAAAAGCUGUAACAACCAUGCUAUUAAUAAACGUAUCCGAUAUUUGCCUUACCUUUCUUAUUUUAAAUGGCACGGUUCGGUUCACGGUAUUUUUUAUCUGGCAUCACGGUACGCUCAUGAUUCGGGCCGUCUCCGAUUUUCUGCGCGGUAAUUUGUAUCGCCCAUUUAAGUUUGAUUUAUAUAGAAACUUUUCUGGAUCCGUGUUCAAAACAGGCGGUUUAAAUUCAUUUUAAAUCGUUUCAGAAUCAAAAUUGUCGAGGCGAAGUGUUCCCGAUCUACUGUCAGGAAUCCUGUAUUUUGAUUGGCUGAUGACGACUCACAGAUCUAGGUUAUUUCCUAACCUGAAUAAUGUUUCUCGCUGCUGCAUUAAAGGCGUAUUUUUGCUACAGAUCGUACGGCGUACACCAAUCAUGCUUAUCCUGCGUAAAUCCCGGAGCCCUCCACACUUGACCCCGACAGGAUAAACUAAUGGGGCACGCUGUAAAUGAUACGUAUCGUACCGUGAGACAAGUAUCUACGUAUCGUAGCCAUCGUGGAGGAAGCGUAUCGUUACAGCCACAUGAUAUUGAUAAACAUAUCUAAUAUUUGCCUUUUCAAGUCUGAUUUGUAAACUACAAAGAAUUACCACUAAGAUGUAUUUUACAGCCAAGGGUUCAUCUCGUAUAGAUUGAUAUUUGUAGGCUGGUUUACAAGGUUUCAAGGUUUUAUUGAUAUCACUUGACACACUAACGUGUGUAACAAGAGAUCACAUAUAUAUACAUAAUAACAAUGAUACAUGGCGUAAAGCUAUACAAUCUUACUAUGUUCUAUGCAAUAAAAAAUUGUGAUAAUUACAAAGAACUUUAAAGAAUUUCAAAAUUUUACCGAUUGUUUGAGUGUACUACCCAUCGACAGCCAUGCUCAUUUCUGGCAAAAAACACACUUAAUUGAUUUUAUUUGAGUAUAAAUACAGAUUUAAAAUGAAGACAUUUUUUAAAAGAUUCGCAUUGUUUAUUCAGAUCACUAUGACUUAAGGUUGGUUAAAAUAAAAAAAAGAUAUAUUACGAAUAGAUUAUGUGACGUUUUUGAUGUUUGUGUAACAUUGAAGAUAGUAGGUAAAAUGACCUCAAAGGCUAUUGAGAUUGAUUCCUUAUAAUUAGCAUUAUAUUAGAAAGUGCCCAAAUGCAUUGCUGAAAGUCAUAAUUACGUAAUCUAUUAUUAGUAGUGGUACUACAAACGUCCGUAUUCUGCGCAAUAUAGAAUGCCGAUGUAUUUAUUGCAAUGAAUUUUGCGGGAUUUUUUUUUCGAGUAAACACUAGUGCUUUUUAAGGAGACUGCGUGGCCCUUAAAAGGGCUGUGAUGGGUGGGUGGCCUUUUUAUGAUAAUACCUAUCUGCCUCAUCGUCUGGAUUGCAUUUUCUAUACUUUUUGUGAAGGCGAACUCCAUCGUUACUGUCAGAUGUGUGCCGUUCCUGCGUCGAAUGACAUUGGUAGUGUCAUGUCUCCAAAUCUUCUACUGUAAACUUUGGUUAGUAUUUUUUUUAGUAGAGACGCUUUCUUGUUGUAGUGUCGAUCGUGACGCGGAAAUAAUCCGGCCUGAAUGAAUACAGCGCUGUAUGCGGGAAAGUCACAUUCGACGUAAUGAUGUCCAAGUGUUGGUAGCUUUAGUCCGUAAUAACGUGAAACCAUAUUGUUUAUAAAGUUACAUAACUAUAAUUCUAUUUUUCAAUUUGUCAUUCUCAUUACAAAAUUUGAAACGAAAACCAUUGAAGCAGAUAUCUGGACAAGUGAACGUACAUGAUGGACAGAUGAAGAGAUUGAAAACAAUGGCAUACCAAAGUAAGUCCCAUAAACUAAAUGUAGUAGAGUGAUUUAAUGUAGUUUUUAAUAAAAUAUAUAAAACAUUGAUGCUGUGUUGUUUUGUUAUAUAUAUAUACAUGUAUAUGUAUGCAUGUAUAGAAGACCAGUAUGCAGUAUUUUACCUGUAAUAUGCCCAACAUGUACUUUAAUUUGAAUUUUCGAAUGCAGUGGAACCACGAGAAAUCUUCGAGUUAUCGGGACAGAAAGACAAAAGUGGGUAUAUUUUAAGACACUGACCAUGAAUUAUAUUUAUCCUUCAGUGCUUAGCAAACAUGGUAGAAUUGACGUUUUAUCCGAUUUAAUAGACAGCGCUGACCGGCGACUGUUUCAUUUCUAAACGUAGAUUAGUUCCGCUUGAGCGAGCGGGUAGAUGAAUUGUUGACUAUCGUGUGUACUGUUAUCGGCGACCGCCUUAAAUCUCUAUAAAAACCGCCCAAUGGGGAGGCAGACAAAUCGUCACUAUAGAACGGUUGCUUAAGUUAUAGUAAUUGAAUGACUAGACGAGUGUAUCACGAGAUAUUUCGGUGGGCGGUUACGAGAUCGCGUAGCGAACGAGUAACGCCCACCGAAAUAUCGAGUGUACACGAGUCUAGGACAUUCAAUAAAAUGGCUUGUAUCAUUGCCCGUCCAUCGGCUGUCAUUAAACUUCUAAAAACCAAUCAGAAUUGUCUCGGGUUUCUGAGUGAAUUCCCCGCCAAAAACAAUCAACGAUCAAUUAGGAGUACAUUUCCCGCCAAAAACGUUAUCAGUUACAUGUAGUUCAAUGCGCACCCGACUUUGUAAGCAGCAGGAUGUCAACCCCUUCAGCUAGCUUAAUGGUCAGUUUAAAGCACAGGGAUUUCCUUUCAUUACAAGGGGAUGAUUUUGACGACAUUGUGUUAUCUCAAGCAUUCAAGGAUAUAGAAAACGAAGUGAAAGUUUUUGAUGGGAUUUCCGACAUGUCGCUGACACCUAACGGGAAGGGGAUGCAAAACAUAUUUAAGAGGACUGGAAUACACCACAUUACCAGCAAGAACAGACAUUAUUACAACCAAGAAGGUGACCGAUGUAUUCCGGAGUACUUUGAUAUGUACAAUGAUGUUUAUACAGGAGACUUCUCGGAGGAACCCCCAUUUGUUAUGGAAGUCAGGUCGUCGGUGUAAACAAACCAAAACAACAUGUGAAAGUGAAAGGAAAUUACACACAACUUACACUAUUGUACAAAUGCGGCGAACUGGACAACUGUUACGCGUUAUGUUAAAUUUGU